CCUGACAGCCCCCUCUUCCUCUUGGCUGUGGUGGUGCUGUAUGUCCACCUCUCUAGGGACCCAGGACCACUCCUCCUCUAUCUCUGUACUAUCUGAGGCCAAGGACCUAGCACAGCAUUAGGCUUGACCACUGUUGAUAGGAAUAGACACAUAGUCUAUUUCUGGUUAAUCUUGUCUGGGCCUUAGCAUGGUGUAGAAGAUUGGGGGAGGCGUGGUGGAAGGAGAUUUUCGUGGACCUGAAUUUUCACUGUUUUGAGAACUGGGGCGCUAUGCUUCCUCUCUGACUCUUUGCUGCUGCUUGGGUAACAGGCAAAGGCCUGUGUCCUGCCUCCUCUGGCUCCCUUCCUUGUCUGGAGAGAAGGUAACCUCUAGAUCACUGGUUCACCUAUGAAUUCAGCCUGCAAAUGGAGACAUACUUCCUGAAGAUGCUGAGCACUGUGAAGUCAAGUGGAGAGACGUCCAUAGCAGAGCGUCCAUGGAUGGGACCAGGGUGCUCUGGUCCUGGCUUUGUGGCUAUUUCCAGAGGCUGGCUUCAAAGGAGAAGAGAAGAACUUGGGUGCGGGUUAUUGAAGGGAGUAGGCCUUGGAAUAUAGGUGUGAUUCCAGGGGCGGGACCAGCAUGAGCAAAGGUGCUGAGAUGGGAAACAGGCUGUUAAUGUGAGGAGCAGAGUACUGUCUGGUAGCACCCAAGGGUGCCAGGGAGAGAAGGAUAAAAUUGGAGAGCUUAAGUCCCCAAGUGUUAGAGGAACAAGGAAGUUUGGGGCAGCACUCUGUAAGAUUGGUGUUUGCUCUAGUGUUCUGAGAAGGAGCAGGAAGGGCAUCUAUCAGCAUCCAGGAGUGGGGCGGCUGCAGGUCCUGUGUUUGCAGAAGGAUAACUUGCUACGUGAAACCAUUAUAGAAAUCCUCAAGAGAUUCCUGCCAUUAGGCAGGAGGCAAUAGUUCUCCCAUAGAUGUGUUAAAACUUGGGUUUCAAGUGGGGAACAGUGAUGUGUAAUUCAUUUCUCCUGGUGCUUGAUCUGUGAUCCCAAGGGAGAGAACAGGAAGGGAUUAGAGAGCUCUAUAUUACAACUUAAUUGCUUGAAGGAAAAAUAUUAUUCUUUAUUGUUAACCAUUA